CAAGGAAUAGUUUAAGU
rnacentral:tRNA from 3 species